rnacentral:rRNA from 1 species
UAUGUGAUCGUCUCUCGCAUAUCAAUAAGCGGAGGAAAAGAAACUAACAAGGAUUCCCCUAGUAACGGCGAGUGAAGCGGGAAGAGCUCAAAUUUGAAAUCUUAAAGGGUUUCCCUUUACGAAUUGUAGUUUAAAGAAGUGUUUUCUGUUGAGGUUUUGGUAAAAGUUCUUUGGAAUAGGACAUCAUAGAGGGUGAGAAUCCCGUAUUUGACCUUUACUUUCAACUUUGUGAUACACUUUCAAAGAGUCGGAUUGUUUGGGAAUGCAGUCCAAAAUGGGUGGUAAAUUUCAUCUAAAGCUAAAUAUUGGCGAGAGACCGAUAGCGAACAAGUACCGUGAGGGAAAGAUGAAAAGAACUUUGAAAAGAGAGUUAAACAGUACGUGAAAUUGUCAAAAGGGAAGCGUUUGACACCAGUGUUGUUUUCUCUGAAAAUCAAUUAAAGAACUGUUUAUGCUAAGUUGUUUAGACUUUAUCAGCUAACUGUUUAGUUUUGAGCUUUUCUUUAAUGCACUUUUCAGUUAACAAGUCAACAUCAAUUUCUUUUGCUGUAAAAAAGCUUGAGGAAGGUGGCUUGAGAUUCGUCUUAAGUGUUUAUAGCCUCUUGCCUAUGCAGUCGGAGAGAUUGAGGUCUGCAGCGUAGAUCCUUCGGGGCUAAAUGCAUUUGUGCUAAGUUAUAGCAUUUUAUAGACAACUUGUUGACUAUGAUUUGUCUUGUAGCUUACUCGCCUAUGUUAUUUUACCUACGCUUAGGAUGUUGACACACGCGCGUGCUCG